AGUGGCGAACGGGUGAGUAAUAUAUCGGAACGUGCCCAGUCGUGGGGGAUAACGUAGAGAAAUUUACGCUAAUACCGCAUACGAUCUAAGGAUGAAAGCGGGGGAUCGCAAGACCUCGCGCGAUUGGAGCGGCUGAUAUCAGAUUAGGUUGUUGGUGAGGUAAAAGCUCACCAAGCCGACGAUCUGUAGCUGGUUUGAGAGAACGACCAGCCACACUGGGACUGAGACACGGCCCAGACUCCUACGGGAGGCAGCAGUGGGGAAUUUUGGACAAUGGGCGAAAGCCUGAUCCAGCAAUGCCGCGUGUGGGAAGAAGGCCUUCGGGUUGUAAACCACUUUUGUACGGAACGAAACGCCUCGCCUUAAUACGGUGGGGUAAUGACGGUACCGUAAGAAUAAGCACCGGCUAACUACGUGCCAGCAGCCGCGGUAAUACGUAGGGUGCGAGCGUUAAUCGGAAUUACUGGGCGUAAAGCGUGCGCAGGCGGUUAUAUAAGACAGUUGUGAAAUCCCCGGGCUCAACCUGGGAAUUGCAUCUGUGACUGUAUAGCUAGAGUACGGUAGAGGGGGAUGGAAUUCCGCGUGUAGCAGUGAAAUGCGUAGAUAUGCGGGAGGACACCGAUGGCGAAGGCAAUCCCCUGGAACUGUACUGACGCUCAUGCACGAAAGCGUGGGGAGCAAACAGGAUUAGAUACCCUGAUUGUCCACGCC
rnacentral:rRNA from 1 species